GGUCGCAAUAUUGGGAAACAAGUAGUUGCCAUCUCUACAGAAUGAUUCUGUGGCCGUUGGUUUCUUCUGUAAUUCUUUCUCCCUUCCAUUGUGGUCUUGGGUCUUGUGUGUCUUCAAAUGGAGUAGUUUCCAUCACCACAGAGCAGCCCAUGUACUUUAUUACUAUAAUGCUUUAGAAUAUACUAAAAAUAGGAGAGAUGGUUGGAUUGUAUGUUGUAG
rnacentral:misc_RNA from 1 species